rnacentral:rRNA from 1 species
GAUUGAACGCUGGCGGCAGGCUUAACACAUGCAAGUCGAGCGGAGAUGAGGUGCUUGCACCUUAUCUUAGCGGCGGACGGGUGAGUAAUGCUUAGGAAUCUGCCUAUUAGUGGGGGACAACAUUCCGAAAGGAAUGCUAAUACCGCAUACGUCCUACGGGAGAAAGCAGGGGAUCUUCGGACCUUGCGCUAAUAGAUGAGCCUAAGUCGGAUUAGCUAGUUGGUGGGGUAAAGGCCUACCAAGGCGACGAUCUGUAGCGGGUCUGAGAGGAUGAUCCGCCACACUGGGACUGAGACACGGCCCAGACUCCUACGGGAGGCAGCAGUGGGGAAUAUUGGACAAUGGGGGGAACCCUGAUCCAGCCAUGCCGCGUGUGUGAAGAAGGCCUUAUGGUUGUAAAGCACUUUAAGCGAGGAGGAGGCUACUGAGACUAAUACUCUUGGAUAGUGGACGUUACUCGCAGAAUAAGCACCGGCUAACUCU